rnacentral:lncRNA from 1 species
GUACUGAAUCACCAAGGCCCUUUUUCUUGGCCUGUUAUGUGUGUGAUUAUAUUUAUCCCAGUUUCUGUGUAAUAGACAUGAAAGCCUCCCCUGCCACACCCCACCUCCAAUCUUCCUUUCCCUUCCACCAGGGAGUGUCCACUCCAUAUACCCUUACAUUUGGACAAUCAAGGUGCACAAUUGUAAGUGACCACAACCAUGCAUCUUGGAAAUUUAUGUGCAUAACUGCACAUGGCUUAUCCUAUUUGAAUAAAGUCCUACUCUCAGACCCCCUUUGCAGUAUAGCUGGGGUGCUGAUCACUGAGGCCUCUUUGCUUGGCUUGUCUAUAUUCUUGUGUACUAGAUAAGGGCACCUUCUCAUGGACUCCCUUUGCUUUUCAACAAGGAGUACCCACUACUUUUUAAGAUUCUUAUAUUUGUCCAAAGUACAUGGUUUUAAUUGACCACAACAAUGUCCCUUGGACAUUAAUGUAUGUAAUCACCACAUGGUUCAUCCUAAUUAAACAAAGUUCUACCUUCUCACCCUCCAUUUGCAGUAUACCAGGGUUGCUGACCCCCUAAGUCCCCUUUUCUUGGCUUGUUGACAUGCAUAAUUGCAUUUAUGUUGGUUCUUGUGCCCUAGACAAGGAUGCCCCACCUCUUUUCAAUAGUGGGUGCCCACUCCUUAUGAUCUUUACAUUUGAACAGUUAAUGUGAAUAAUUGCAGUUGUCCACAACCCUAUCACUUCUAGGACCAUUAUACCUCUUUUGCAUUACUGUGGGGUAUACUGUUUCCCUCCAAGGCCCCUUCUGGUGGACUAUCAACAUAUAAUUGAAAUUUUCUUUUGUCUUUGUCAGUAGAUUAAGGUCAUACCCCAUCACCUUUCCUUUGUAGUACAACAGGGUGUCCUGAUCAACCAAAGUCCUGUUGUUUUGGACUGUUAAUAUGUGCAAUUACAUUUGCUCCUGAUCUGUGCACUAGAUAAGGAUCCUACCUACUUUCUUAGUGUUUUUAGCAGGUAGUGCCCACUACUCAAGACUGUCACUUGGAAUGUUCAUGUGCACAAACUCAAUUCUCUAAGCAUGUUCCUGUACCACCUUUGCUUUAGAGCAGGGGGAUGAUAUUCACUAAGUGCCCCUUCUUUUGGACUUAAUAUGCAUUAAUGCAAUUGUCCACCUCUUCUUUUAGACUAAGAGUUGAUCUCCACAUAUUCCCCUUGCAUCAGGGGCAUGUUAAUUAUGAAUGAACCCUUUUCUUUUAAUAUUAAUGUCAUAAUUGUAUUUGUGGACCUGUGUAGGAGAAAAAGACCCUAUGUUCCUCCCAUUACCCUUUGGAUUGCUGCUGAGAAGUGUUAACUACUCAUAAUCUCAGCUCUUGGACAAUUAAUAGCAUUAAUAACAAUUAUCAAGGGCACUGAUCAUUAGAUAAGACUCCUGCUUCCUCGUUGCUUACAUCGGGGGUACUGACCCACUAAGGCCCCUUGUACUGUUAAUGUGAAUAUUUGCAAUUAUAUAUGUCUCCUUCUGGUAGAGUGGGAUAUUAUGCCCUAGUAUCCCCUUUGCAUUACUGCAGGGGCUGCUGACUACUCAAAACUUCUCCUGGGACUGUUAAUAGGCACAAUGGCAGUUAUCAAUGGUUUUCUCCCUCCCUGACCUUGUUAAGCAAGCGCCCCACCCCACCCUUAGUUUCCCAUGGCAUAAUAAAGUAUAAGCAUUGGAGUAUUCCAUGCACUUGUCUAUCAAACAGUGGUCCAUACUCCCAACCCUUUUGCAUUGCGCCAGUGUGUAAAAUCACAGGUAGCCAUGGUGUCAUGCUUUAUAUACGAAGUCUUCCCUCUCUCUGCCCCUUGUGUGCCCUUGGCCCCUUUUUACAGACUAUUGCUCACAAUCUCAGGUGUCCAUAUUUGCAGCUAUUAGGUAAGAUUGUGCUGUCUCCCUCUUCCCUUCCCUCUGCCCUGCCCCUUUUGCCUCUUUGCUGGGUAAUGUUGACCAGACAAGGCCCUUUCUCUUGGACUUAAACAAUUCUCAGUUGCACUUUCCUUGGUCCCACCCAUUAUACAUGAACCCCUCUACUUCCUUUCGCAUUGCUUCUGAGUAUGCUGACUACCCAAAGCCCCUUCUGUGUUAUUAAUAAACACAGUACUGAUUGUCCCAUUUUUCAGCCCAUCAGUCCAAGAUCUCCCUACCACUUUGGUGUGUUGGUGCAGUGUUGACUAUGAAAAGCAGGCCUGAACUAGGUGGAUAAGCCUUCACUCAUUUUCUUUCAUUUAUUAAUGAUCCUAGUUUCAAUUAUUGUCAGAUUCUGGGGACAAGAACCAUUCUUGCCCACCUGUGUUACUGCUUUACUGUGCAAAAUACUGAAGGCAAGUCAGACCCAGGGAGCUGGAUUGCCAUCCUUUAUUUUGUGUUUCCAGUGUACACUAUAAAAUUGUCUCCCCAGGAAGGAAGGUUGGCACUUUCUCUGCAUUCUUCUUUCCAGAGCAGAUUGCCUGGUUAAGAAUCUCUUGUUGUCCCCUUUGUAUAUUGUUAUUGUAAAGUGCCAAAUGCCAGGAUACAGCCAGAAAAAUUGCUUAUUAUUAUUAAAAAAAUUUUUUUAAGAAAGACAUCUGGAUUGUAGGGUGGACUCGAUAACCUGGUCAUUAUUUUUUUGAAGCCAAAAUAUCCAUUUAUACUAUGUACCUGGUGACCAGUGUCUCUCAUUUUAACUGAGGGUGGUGGGUCUGUGGAUAGAACACUGACUCUUGCUAUUUUAAUAUCAAAGAUAUUCUAGAGUGGAACUCUUAAGACCAGUAUCUUUGUGUGGGCUUUACCAGCAUUCACUUUUAGAAAAACUACCUAAAUUUUAUAAUCCUUUAAUUUCUUCAUCUGGAGCACCUGCCCCUACUUAUUUCAAGAAGAUUGCAGUAAAACGAUUAAAUGAGGGAACAUAUGCAGAGGUGCUUUUAAAAAGCAUAUGCCACCUUUUUUAUUAAUUAUUAUAUAAAAUGAAGCAUUUAAUUAUAGUAAUAAUUUGAAGUAGUUUGAAGUACCACACUGAGGUGAGGACUUAAAAAUGAUAAGACGAGUUCCCUAUUUUAUAAGAAAAAUAAGCCAAAAUUAAAUAUUCUUUUGGAUAUAAAUUUCAACAGUGAGAUAGCUGCCUAGUGGAAAUGAAUAAUAUCCCAGCCACUAGUGUACAGGGUGUUUUGUGGCACAGGAUUAUGUAAUAUGGAACUGCUCAAGCAAAUAACUAGUCAUCACAACAGCAGUUCUUUGUAAUAACUGAAAAAGAAUAUUGUUUCUCGGAGAAGGAUGUCAAAAGAUCGGCCCAGCUCAGGGAGCAGUUUGCCCUACUAGCUCCUCGGACAGCUGUAAAGAAGAGUCUCUGGCUCUUUAGAAUACUGAUCCCAUUGAAGAUACCACGCUGCAUGUGUCCUUAGUAGUCAUGUCUCCUUAGGCUCCUCUUGAUCUUCCUCAGAAGAAUAGGCUUGUUGUUUUACAGUGUUAGUGAUCCAUUCCCUUUGACGAUCCCUAGGUGGAGAUGGGGCAUGAGGAUCCUCCAGGGGAAAAGCUCACUACCACUGGGCAACAACCCUAGGUCAGGAGGUUCUGUCAAGAUACUUUCCUGGUCCCAGAUAGGAAGAUAAAGUCUCAAAAACAACCACCACACGUCAAGCUCUUCAUUGUUCCUAUCUGCCAAAUCAUUAUACUUCCUACAAGCAGUGCAGAGAGCUGAGUCUUCAGCAGGUCCAAGAAAUUUGAACACACUGAAGGAAGUCAGCCUUCCCACCUGAAGAUCAACAUGCCUGGCACUCUAGCACUUGAGGAUAGCUGAAUGAAUGUGUAUUUCUUUGUCUCUUUCUUUCUUGUCUUUGCUCUUUGUUCUCUAUCUAAAGUGUGUCUUACCCAUUUCCAUGUUUCUCUUGCUAAUUUCUUUCGUGUGUGCCUUUGCCUCAUUUUCUCUUUUUGUUCACAAGAGUGGUCUGUGUCUUGUCUUAGACAUAUCUCUCAUUUUUCAUUUUGUUGCUAUUUCUCUUUGCUCUCCUAGAUGUGGCUCUUCUUUCACGCUUUAUUUCAUGUCUCCUUUUUGGGUCACAUGCUGUGUGCUUUUUGUCCUUUUCUUGUUCUGUCUACCUCUCCUUUCUCUGCCUACCUCUCUUUUCUCUUUGUGAACUGUGAUUAUUUGUUACCCCUUCCCCUUCUCGUUCGUUUUAAAUUUCACCUUUUUUCUGAGUCUGGCCUCCUUUCUGCUGUUUCUACUUUUUAUCUCACAUUUCUCAUUUCUGCAUUUCCUUUCUGCCUCUCUUGGGCUAUUCUCUCUCUCCUCCCCUGCGUGCCUCAGCAUCUCUUGCUGUUUGUGAUUUUCUAUUUCAGUAUUAAUCUCUGUUGGCUUGUAUUUGUUCUCUGCUUCUUCCCUUUCUACUCACCUUUGAGUAUUUCAGCCUCUUCAUGAAUCUAUCUCCCUCUCUUUGAUUUCAUGUAAUCUCUCCUUAAAUAUUUCUUUGCAUAUGUGGGCAAGUGUACGUGUGUGUGUGUCAUGUGUGGCAGAGGGGCUUCCUAACCCCUGCCUGAUAGGUGCAGAACGUCGGCUAUCAGAGCAAGCAUUGUGGAGCGGUUCCUUAUGCCAGGCUGCCAUGUGAGAUGAUCCAAGACCAAAACAAGGCCCUAGACUGCAGUAAAACCCAGAACUCAAGUAGGGCAGAAGGUGGAAGGCUCAUAUGGAUAGAAGGCCCAAAGUAUAAGACAGAUGGUUUGAGACUUGAGACCCGAGGACUAAGAUGGAAAGCCCAUGUUCCAAGAUAGAUAGAAGCCUCAGGCCUGAAACCAACAAAAGCCUCAAGAGCCAAGAAAACAGAGGGUGGCCUGAAUUGGACCGAAGGCCUGAGUUGGAUGGAAGUCUCAAGGCUUGAGUUAGAAGUCUUAAGACCUGGGACAGGACACAUGGAAGGCCUAAGAACUGAGACUUGUGACACAAGGCCAACGACCUAAGAUUAGCCCAGGGUUGUAGCUGGAAGACCUACAACCCAAGGAUGGAAGGCCCCUGUCACAAAGCCUACCUAGAUGGAUAGAGGACCCAAGCGAAAAAGGUAUCUCAAGACUAACGGCCGGAAUCUGGAGGCCCAUGACCCAGAACCCAGGAAGGAUAGAAGCUUGAAGACCUGGGGAAAUCCCAAGAUGAGAACCCUAAACCCUACCUCUUUUCUAUUGUUUACACUUCUUACUCUUAGAUAUUUCCAGUUCUCCUGUUUAUCUUUAAGCCUGAUUCUUUUGAGAUGUACUUUUUGAUGUUGCCGGUUACCUUUAGAUUGACAGUAUUAUGCCUGGGCCAGUCUUGAGCCAGCUUUAAAUCACAGCUUUUACCUAUUUGUUAGGCUAUAGUGUUUUGUAAACUUCUGUUUCUAUUCACAUCUUCUCCACUUGAGAGAGACACCAAAAUCCAGUCAGUAUCUAAUCUGGCUUUUGUUAACUUCCCUCAGGAGCAGACAUUCAUAUAGGUGAUACUGUAUUUCAGUCCUUUCUUUUGACCCCAGAAGCCCUAGACUGAGAAGAUAAAAUGGUCAGGUUGUUGGGGAAAAAAAAGUGCCAGGCUCUCUAGAGAAAAAUGUGAAGAGAUGCUCCAGGCCAAUGAGAAGAAUUAGACAAGAAAUACACAGAUGUGCCAGACUUCUGAGAAGCACCUGCCAGCAACAGCUUCCUUCUUUGAGCUUAGGUGAGCAGGAUUCUGGGGUUUGGGAUUUCUAGUGAUGGUUAUGGAAAGGGUGACUGUGCCUGGGACAAAGCGAGGUCCCAAGGGGACAGCCUGAACUCCCUGCUCAUAGUAGUGGCCAAAUAAUUUGGUGGACUGUGCCAACGCUACUCCUGGGUUUAAUACCCAUCUCUAGGCUUAAAGAUGAGAGAACCUGGGACUGUUGAGCAUGUUUAAUACUUUCCUUGAUUUUUUUCUUCCUGUUUAUGUGGGAAGUUGAUUUAAAUGACUGAUAAUGUGUAUGAAAGCACUGUAAAACAUAAGAGAAAAACCAAUUAGUGUAUUGGCAAUCAUGCAGUUAACAUUUGAAAGUGCAGUGUAAAUUGUGAAGCAUUAUGUAAAUCAGGGGUCCACAGUUUUUCUGUAAGGGGUCAAAUCAUAAAUACUUUAGACUGUGGGCCAUAUGGUUUCUGUUACAUAUUUGUUUUUUAAACAACGUUUUUAUAAGGUCAAAAUCAUUCUUAGUUUUUGAGCCAAUUGGAUUUGGCCUGCUGUUCAUAGCUUACCACCCCCUGAUGUAUUAUUUGUUAUUCAGAGAAAAUUUCUGAAUACUACUAGUUUCCUUUUCUGUGCCUGUCCCUGUGCUAGGCACUAAAAAUGCAAUGAUUAUUGAUAUCUAGGUGACCUGAAAAAAAAUAGUGAAUGUGCUUUGUAAACUGUAAAGCACUUGUAUUCUACUGUGAUAAGCGUUGUGGAUACAAAGAAAGGAGCAAGCAUAAAAAAGUGCUCUUUCAAAAGGAUAUAGUACUAUGCAGACACAAGGAAUUGUUUGAUAAAUGAAUAAAUUAUAUGUAUAUUUGAGGCCAAUUUGUGUUUGCUGCUCUGGUAAUUUUGAGUAAAAAUGCAGUAUUCCAGGUAUCAGAAACGAAAACACAUGGAAACUGCUUUUAAACUUUAAAAUAUACUGAAAACAUAAGGGACUAAGCUUGUUGUGGUCACCUAUAAUGUGCCAGAUACCAUGCUGGGUGCUAGAGCUACCAAAGGGGGAAAAGUAUUCUCAUAGAACAAAAAAUUUCAGAAAGGUGCAUAUUAAAGUGCUUUGUAAACUAAAGCAUGAUACAAAUGUCAAUGGGCUACAUAUUUAUGAAUGAAUGAAUGGAUGAAUGAAUAUUAAGUGCCUCUUACAUACCAGCUAUUUUGGGUACUGUAAAAUACAAGAUUAAUUCUCCUAUGUAAUAAGAGGAAAGUUUAUCCUCUAUACUAUUCAGAUGUAAGGAAUGAUAUAUUGCUUAAUUUUAAACAAUCAAGACUUUACUGGUGAGGUUAAGUUAAAUUAUUACUGAUACAUUUUUCCAGGUAACCAGGAAAGAGCUAGUAUGAGGAAAUGAAGUAAUAGAUGUGAGAUCCAGACCGAAAGUCACUUAAUUCAGCUUGCGAAUGUGCUUUCUAAAUUAUAAAGCACUUGUAAAUGAAAAAUUUGAUGCUUUCUGUAUGAAUAAAACUUUCUGUAAGCUAGGUAUUGUCUCUACAAAAUUCUCAUUGUAUAGUUAAACCACAGUGAGAAGGGUUCUAUAAGUAGUUAUACAAACCAAGGGUUUAAAUACCUGUUAAAUAGAUCAAUUUUGAUUGCCUACUAUGUGAACUCACUGUUAAAGGCACUGAAAAUUUAUCAUAUUUCAUUUAGCCACAGCCAAAAAUAAGGCAAUACCUAUGUUAGCAUUUUGUGAACUCUAAGGCACCAUAUAAAUGUAACUGUUGAUUUUCUCACUUGGUGCUGGGUACUAGGUUUAUAAAAUUGUAUGAUAGUUAUUAUAUUGUGCAAAUAAAGUAGGAAAAUUUGAAUAACAAUGAUUAUCUUUUGAAUACGCAUACGCAAGGGAUUGGUUGUCUGAAGAAUGCCACUAUAGUAGUUAUCUAUUGUGUGCCAAUCUCAUUGCUAGGCAUUGGGGAUGCAAAGAUAAACCAUCUUUAUUGUGUCUUGGGUAGCAGAAGAAAAUAUGUGUAAAAUCAAUUUAUAAUUUGUAAACUGCCACCCAUAUAUAAGCUAUAUCUGCUGAAUGAUCAUUGAUUACUCUUAUCCUUAGAGAUAACAACUGGGGGCACAAACAUUUAUUAUCAUUAUUGAACCUACAACAGAGAUCUAUGUGUAGAUUUACAAAGCCUACAGUUCUAUACAGAUAGGAAUGAACUAUUGGCUUACUGAAUGGUGAUUACUUUCUGUGGGGCUCGGAACUACAUGCCCUAGGAUAUAAAAAUGAUGUUAUCAUUAUAGAGUGCUCACAGAAGGAAAUGAAGUAAUAUAGGUGUGAGAUCCAGACCAAAAGUCAUUUAACAAGUUUAUUCAGUGAUGAAAACAUGGGACAAAUGGACUAAUAUAAGGCAGUGUACUAAGCUGAGUAGAGAGAUAAAGUCCUGUCCAGAAGAUACAUGCUUCCUGGCCUGAUUGAGGAGAUGGAAAAUUUUUGCAAAAAACAAGGUGUUGUGGUCUUCCAUCCAGUUUCUUAAGUGCUGAUGAUAAAAGUGAAUUAGACCCACCUUGACCUGGCCUACAGAAGUAAAGGAGUAAAAAUAAAUGCCUCAGGCGUGCUUUUUGAUUCAUUUGAUAAACAAAGCAUCUUUUAUGUGGAAUAUACCAUUCUGGGUCCUGAGGAUAAGAGAGAUGAGGGCAUUAGAUCACUGACAGCUGAAGAUAGAAGAACAUCUUUGGUUUGAUUGUUUAAAUAAUAUUUCAAUGCCUAUUCUCUGCAAGGUACUAUGUUUCGUAAAUUAAAUAGGUCUGGCCCAGAAGACCCACUCAAUUGCCUUUGAGAUUAAAAAAAAAAAAAAAAAGAAAGAAAAAUGCAAGUUUCUUUCAAAAUAAAGAGACAUUUUUCCUAGUUUCAGGAAUCCCCCAAAUCACUUCCUCAUUGGCUUAGUUUAAAGCCAGGAGACUGAUAAAAGGGCUCAGGGUUUGUUCUUUAAUUCAUUAACUAAACAUUCUGCUUUUAUUACAGUUAAAUGGUUCAAGAUGUAACAACUAGUUUUAAAGGUAUUUGCUCAUUGGUCUGGCUUAGAGACAGGAAGACAUAUGAGCAAUAAAAAAAAGAUUCUUUUGCAUUUACCAAUUUAGUAAAAAUUUAUUAAAACUGAAUAAAGUGCUGUUCUUAAGUGCUUGAAAGACGUAAACCAAAGUGCACUUUAUCUCAUUUAUCUUAUGGUGGAAACACAGGAACAAAUUCUCUAAGAGACUGUGUUUCUUUAGUUGAGAAGAAACUUCAUUGAGUAGCUGUGAUAUGUUCGAUACUAAGGAAAAACUAAACAGAUCACCUUUGACAUGCGUUGUAGAGUGGGAAUAAGAGAGGGCUUUUUAUUUUUUCGUUCAUACGAGUAUUGAUGAAGAUGAUACUAAAUGCUAAAUGAAAUAUAUCUGCUCCAAAAGGCAUUUAUUCUGACUUGGAGAUGCAACAAAAACACAAAAAUGGAAUGAAGUGAUACUCUUCAUCAAACAGAAGUGACUGUUAUCUCAACCAUUUUGUUAAAUCCUAAACAGAAAACAAAAAAAAUCAUGACGAAAAGACACUUGCUUAUUAAUUGGCUUGGAAAGUAGAAUAUAGGAGAAAGGUUACUGUUUAUUUUUUUUCAUGUAUUCAUUCAUUCUACAAAUAUAUUCGGGUGCCAAUAGGUACUUGGUAUAAGGUUUUUGGCCCCAGAGACAUGGGAAAAAAAUGCAUGCCUUCCCAGAGAAUGCCUAAUACUUUCCUUUUGGCUUGUUUUCUUGUUAGGGGCAUGGCUUAGUCCCUAAAUAACAUUGUGUGGUUUAAUUCCUACUCCGUAUCUCUUCUACCACUCUGGCCACUACGAUAAGCAGGUAGCUGGGUUUUGUAGUGAGCUUGCUCCUUAAGUUACAGGAACUCUCCUUAUAAUAGACACUUCAUUUUCCUAGUCCAUCCCUCAUGAAAAAUGACUGACCACUGCUGGGCAGCAGGAGGGAUGAUGACCAACUAAUUCCCAAACCCCAGUCUCAUUGGUACCAGCCUUGGGGAACCACCUACACUUGAGCCACAAUUGGUUUUGAAGUGCAUUUACAAGGUUUGUCUAUUUUCAGUUCUUUACUUUUUACAUGCUGACACAUACAUACACUGCCUAAAUAGAUCUCUUUCAGAAACAAUCCUCAGAUAACGCAUAGCAAAAUGGAGAUGGAGACAUGAUUUCUCAUGCAACAGCUUCUCUAAUUAUACCUUAGAAAUGUUCUCCUUUUUAUCAUCAAAUCUGCUCAAGAAGGGCUUUUUAUAGUAGAAUAAUAUCAGUGGAUGAAAACAGCUUAACAUUUUACCAUGCUUAAGUUUUAAGAAUAAAAUAAAAAUUGGAAAUAAUUGGCCAAAAUUGAAAGGAAAAAUUUUUUUAAAAUUUCUCUAAAUGUAGGCCUGGCUGGGCUUUGACCUUUUCCGUUUUUAAAUCACUCACAGAGGGUGGGACAGGAGGAAGAGUGAAGGAAAAGGUCAAACCUGUUUUAAGGGCAACCUGCCUUUGUUCUGAAUUGGUCUUAAGAACAUUACCAGCUCCAGGUUUAAAUUGUUCAGUUUCAUGCAGUUCCAAUAGCUGAUCAUUGUUGAGAUGAGGACAAAAUCCUUUGUCCUCACUAGUUUGCUUUACAUUUUUGAAAAGUAUUAUUUUUGUCCAAGUGCUUAUCAACUAAACCUUGUGUUAGGUAAGAAUGGAAUUUAUUAAGUGAAUCAGUGUGACCCUUCUUGUCAUAAGAUUAUCUUAAAGCUGAAGCCAAAAUAUGCUUCAAAAGAAGAGGACUUUAUUGUUCAUUGUAGUUCAUACAUUCAAAGCAUCUGAACUGUAGUUUCUAUAGCAAGCCAAUUACAUCCAUAAGUGGAGAAGGAAAUAGAUAAAUGUCAAAGUAUGAUUGGUGGAGGGAGCAAGGUUGAAGAUAAUCUGGGGUUGAAAUUUUCUAGUUUUCAUUCUGUACAUUUUUAGUUAGACAUCAGAUUUGAAAUAUUAAUGUUUACCUUUCAAUGUGUGGUAUCAGCUGGACUCAGUAACACCCCUUUCUUCAGCUGGGGAUGGGGAAUGGAUUAUUGGAAAAUGGAAAGAAGAAAGUAACUAAAAGCCUUCCUUUCACAGUUUCUGGCAUCACUACCACUACUGAUUAAACAAGAAUAAGAGAACAUUUUAUCAUCAUCUGCUUUAUUCACAUAAAUGAAGUUGUGAUGAAUAAAUCUGCUUUUAUGCAGACACAAGGAAUUAAGUGGCUUCGUCAUUGUCCUUCUACCUCAAAGAUAAUUUAUUCCAAAAGCUAAGAUAAAUGGAAGACUCUUGAACUUGUGAACUGAUGUGAAAUGCAGAAUCUCUUUUGAGUCUUUGCUGUUUGGAAGAUUGAAAAAUAUUGUUCAGCAUGGGUGACCACCAGAAAGUAAUCUUAAGCCAUCUAGAUGUCACAAUUGAAACAAACUGGGGAGUUGGUUGCUAUUGUAAAAUAAAAUAUACUGUUUUGAAAACUUUGU